GUGCUCAUUUUGGCAGCACACAUACUAGAAUUGAAUGAUACACAGUAGAUUAUCAUGGCCCCAGCACAAGGAUGACAUACAAAUUCAUGAAGCAUUCCAUAGUUUU